AACGCAUAUUGCGCUCGAGGCUUCGGCCGAGAGCAUGUCUGCCUCAGCGUCGGGUUAAUAUCACCACCCAACUACACCUUGUGUGUAGUAGUCGGUGGUGGAUCUGGCUGUUCCAGCGAAAGGCGGCAAGCAAUUGCCAGUAGUCCUGCUGGAUCAGCUGAAGUACAGAGGCUAACUAAGGACCCGAAUACAUGGGCCGCAACUGGGUGGGUGGUGGCUAUCCCUUGGGAUGGCUGUCAACAAACGCUUAGUUGUUGGCCUGGGGACUUACUCGUUGGGCCCUCAACCAGGAAUCAACCCUUCUUAUGAUCUCGACCUGAGCUCAGGCAAGAACACCCGCUGAACUUAA
rnacentral:misc_RNA from 1 species